rnacentral:misc_RNA from 1 species
GUAGGUGAACCUGCGGAAGGAUCAUUACCAAAAACAAAAACCGAAAGGUUUUUAAGCCCCUUGUGAACCAAAAAAACAUUUAGCUUCGGCAGCUGGUUUGACAUUCUUGGUCGUUUGACUAUGUUUCGAUGACUAUGUUUCGAUAACUGUUAGCCUGCCGGUAGCACCCAAACUUAAACCAUUGCUGAAUAUUAUUGUCGUUAAAAUUUUUAUAAUGAAUUAAAUCAAAACUUUCAACAACGGAUCUCUU